CAAAUGCCCAUCAUUACCAUAUCUCUCUGAAUUAGGCAGAAGAUAUUUUUUAAUGCUGGCCACUUGUCAAGAAGGAAAUAGUUAACAAAAUGAUUUGUGUUGGGUUCAGCCAUUUCCAUUUGUUCUGCCAAACGAACGCUGUUGCCAGGUUUCAUACACUCCCUUUUCAAGCAAGUUAUUUUCUGAGAAGGUAGCUUGUUUGAAAAUCUGACCUUAGGCAACCAUUUCCAUUUACUGUCUCCAAAUCUUGCCUUCAGUGGGAAGUAACUGAAAGAUCUGGAAAAGCAGCUUCACUGAUAUUUAACUUAAGAAAUGAUAUUCGGUACCUAUAAAACUCUUCACUGGAGUUUAGCCUAUGUGGCAAUAACUAUUAUAUAAUUAAUUUCCUUUUUGGGCAGCAUUUCUUUAUGUGGAAAAAAAGAGGUCAUUAGGAUAAAAAAGAAAGAUAAACUUACUCUCUGAUGGUAGCCAUUUAGGGCCGUUAUACCUAUGAAUUUAGUCAAAUGAUGAAAAAUUCCAACUACAGCCAGAACACUAUGGAGUGAUAAAACUCCAUAUGCUAUUUUGGUUUUUUUUAGCAGUGCCAAAGAACAAAUCAUGUCAUUGUAUGGUUACCAGUUGAAAGCUCAGCCCUAUAAAAAAUGAUCGUUUCAGAGCAAAUUUUAUAGAAACAGAACUUUAUUGGCUGUCAGCAAGAUGCUUUUAUAUGUGAAAACCUUCUUAGAAGACACACAUUUCUUUAGAAUUGAUGGAAGGGAAAUAUCAAAUCCUGCUUUUCUAUCCAAUCUCAGAAGCCAGCAUUUUCUGAAGUAUAACAGUAGAUUAGUUCUUAGGUAAACACUGCCAAGAUCUCCCCUAGUGUUGGUACUAUGGAAGCAAGUUUGGAGUGAAAACUGAUUGAUUUGUGGAAAAGGUAAUGCCCACUCCCCCAAAAUAGAUGUUAAAAUGAAACAAUGCAAAAUAUUAAGAAAUUAAAUAGUGUAGUUUUAAAGACUGUACAUAUUCAGAUACACGGUAAUUGAAUGGAUAUAGCCAGAUACAACUUUGCUUUUCAAAGCAGUGACACUGGGACUUCAGAGACCCCAAGGUCCCAAACGGGUUUCUUUCAAUUUUUCUGGAGAGAAACAUUUUUCUUAUUACAUUUUGGCUUAGGCCGCAUCCUUAUAUCCAAAGGGGUUUGACUCUUAUGAGCGAGUUUGGUGAUCAAAUUAAUAAAACUAAACAACUCUAUUGUUUUAUUGUUUUAAUUAAAUGAGACAUCAGAACAAUGCACAUACAAUGCAAUUUCAAUAUUACUUCUAUGUAAUAUGUAAUUAUAAAUGUACUUUGAUACUACUGAAGUAACCAGAUGUUGUUUGAAAACAAAUUGUUUUCUUUAGUGCAUUGGCAAUAUUUUGCAAUAUUUUGUGCUUAUUUAUUUGUGCUCCCGUGUAAUUAU
rnacentral:lncRNA from 1 species